AUUGAACGCUGGCGGCAGGCCUAACACAUGCAAGUCGAACGAGUGGCGGAGGGGUGAGUAAUGUCUGGGAAACUGCCUUAUGGAGGGGGAUAACUACUGGAAACGGUAGCUAAUACAGCAUACCAUCAGAUGUUCCCAGAUGGGAUUAGCUAGUUGGUGGGGUAAAGGCUGACCAAGGCUACGAUCCCUAGCUGGUCUGAGAGGAUGACCAGCCACACUGGAACGGUGACACGGUCCAGACUCCUACGGGAGGCGGCAGUGGGGAAUAUUGCACAAUGGGGGCAAGCCUGAUGCAGCCAUGCCGCGUGUAUGAAGAAGGCCUUCGGGGUGUAAAGUCCUUUCAGCGGGGAGGCGGUACCCGCAGAAGAAGCACCGGCUAACUCCGUGCCAGCAGCCGCGGUAAUUC
rnacentral:rRNA from 1 species